rnacentral:misc_RNA from 1 species
GUGGGGGAGUGUCAAUAUAGAAAACAAAGAAAAGGGUGCGUGAAUGGCAUCAUUAAUUAUCUAAAUGCUACCGUGCCGAGCAAGACCUAAAGCUGAACUCGCUCAUCUCUAUCUUCUCUCUCCUCCACCUCUUCCUCUUGCUUCUUCCUGAUUUUUGGUAUCGAUCCAUCAAAAAUGGCACCAAGAAAAGAGAAUAUUGUGAUGUUUCCAUUCAUGGCACAAGGCCAUAUCAUCCCUUUCCUUGCUUUAGCCCUUCACAUAGAGCGAACAAGAAACUAUGACAUAACCUUUGUUAACACUUCUCUCAAUGUCAAGAAACUCAAGUAUUCUCUUCCUCCUAACUCUUCCAUUCGUCUUCUUGAAAUUCCCUUCGAUAGCUCUGAUCAUGGCCUCCCUCCCCAUACUGAAAACACCGAUGUCCUUUCUUACCCUCUCAUCAUCCGCCUCCUCCAGGCCUCCACUUCUCUUGAGCCUGCUUUUAGGAAACUCAUUCAGGAUAUUACAUGUGAGCAAGGAGGCCACCCUCCACUUUGUGUUAUUGCUGACAUCUUCUUUGGAUGGACCGCUACUGUUGCUAAAGAUCUUGGCGUGUUUCAUGCGGUCUUUAGUGGUGCAGGUGGAUAUGGCUUGGCCUGUUAUUACUCUGUUUGGCUAAGUCUUCCUCACAGGAAGACGAAAUCGGACGAGUUUGAGCUGCAAGAUUUCAAGGAAGUUUCAAAGCUUCAAGUGACCCAGUUGCCGUUGAGUAUUUUAGAGGCGGAUGGGACUGAUCCUUGGUCUGUUUUCCAAAGAAAGAAUCUACCAGCAUGGAUGGAUUCUAAUGGUAUUUUGUUUAACACGGUGGAGGAGUUUGACCAGAUUGGUUUGUCCUACUUCAGGCGAAAACUAGGCCGGCCGGCUUGGGCAGUAGGGCCAGUUUUGCUAUCAACGGAAAACAGAGCUCGUUCCGGCAUAGAAGCUGGUAUAACGACAGAUCUUUGCAAGAAAUGGCUAGAUACCAAGCCCGAGAAUUCAGUUCUAUACAUAUCAUUUGGAUCGCAUAAUACAAUCGCUUCAUCACAGAUGAUGCAAUUAGCUAUGGCUCUGGAGGCCAGCGGCAAGAAUUUUAUCUGGGUUGUUAGGCCACCGAUAGGAUUUGAUAUAAACUCAGAAUUCAGAAGCAAUGAAUGGUUGCCUGAGGGAUUUGAAGAAAGAAUCAAAGAAUCAGGAAGAGGGUUAUUGGUGCAUAAAUGGGCACCCCAAGUGGAAAUCUUGUCUCAUAAGUCUACAUGUGCAUUUUUGAGUCAUUGCGGAUGGAAUUCUACACUUGAAGCUCUAAACCACGGGGUACCAUUGAUUGGAUGGGCAAUGGCAGCAGAGCAAUUUUUCAAUGUAAAAUUCUUGGAAGAAGAUUUGGGGGUGUGUGUGGAAGUGGCUAGAGGGAAGACUUGUGAGGUUAGGUACCAAGAAGUAAAAGCAAAAAUUGAAUUGGUAAUGAACGAGACAGAGAAAGGCAAGGAAAUAAGGAAAAAAGCUCGUGAGGUCAUGGAAAUGAUAAAAAAUGCCAUGAAAGAUAAAGAUGGUUUGAAGGGUUCCUCUGUGAAAGCGUUGGAUGAUUUUUUCCAAGCUGCAUUGUCAAUGAGAGAGAAGACCCAACAAUAAGGCCUAUGGAGGUUUUUUUCCUAUUUGAAUAUCUUUCACCUUUACUUCCCUUUUCCAUUUGCAUAACAUAUUAAUAAUCAUAUUGCCAUUUGUGAUUUUUUUUUUUUUUAACAUGAAUGGGGAAUUGAAAUUCAGUAAUUUAAAUAAGGCUGAACAACUGUGAAAACCAAAAUAUUUUUUGGUUUUUGAGUUGGACCAAAAUAGGUAUCUGUCUGCUCCAUAU